rnacentral:rRNA from 1 species
AGAGUUUGAUCAUGGCUCAGGACGAACGCUGGCGGCGUGCUUAACACAUGCAAGUCGAACGAUGAAGCCCAGCUUGCUGGGUGGAUUAGUGGCGAACGGGUGAGUAACACGUGGGUGAUCUGCCCUGCACUUCGGGAUAAGCCUGGGAAACUGGGUCUAAUACCGGAUAUGACCAAGGACUGCAUGGUUUUUGGUGGAAAGGUUUACUGGUGCAGGAUGAGCCCGCGGCCUAUCAGCUUGUUGGUGGGGUAAUGGCCUACCAAGGCGACGACGGGUAGCCGGCCUGAGAGGGCGACCGGCCACACUGGGACUGAGACACGGCCCAGACUCCUACGGGAGGCAGCAGUGGGGAAUAUUGCACAAUGGGCGAAAGCCUGAUGCAGCGACGCCGCGUGAGGGAUGACGGCCUUCGGGUUGUAAACCUCUUUCAGCAGGGACGAAGCGCAAGUGACGGUACCUGCAGAAGAAGCACCGGCCAACUACGUGCCAGCAGCCGCGGUAAUACGUAGGGUGCGAGCGUUGUCCGGAAUUACUGGGCGUAAAGAGCUCGUAGGCGGUUUGUCGCGUCGUCUGUGAAAACCCGCAGCUCAACUGCGGGCUUGCAGGCGAUACGGGCAGACUUGAGUACUGCAGGGGAGACUGGAAUUCCUGGUGUAGCGGUGAAAUGCGCAGAUAUCAGGAGGAACACCGGUGGCGAAGGCGGGUCUCUGGGCAGUAACUGACGCUGAGGAGCGAAAGCGUGGGUAGCGAACAGGAUUAGAUACCCUGGUAGUCCACGCCGUAGACGGUGGGCGCUAGGU